rnacentral:lncRNA from 1 species
AGCCUAAUUAAGCCUAAUUAAGUUGGGUUUAAUUUAGUCUAAUUGUGCUUAACCUAUUUUGAUUAGGUUGGUUCAAUUAAGAUUAAACCACCAUUUGAAUUUGAAUCCCUGCGCCACUUCAUAUCUCUGCACCCAUUUGAAUUCAUGAGAAGAAACUUCUCAUGAAUUUUCUCUCACACAAAGCCCUUCCCACGCCCCA